CUCUCUAUCUUCUGUCAA
rnacentral:snRNA from 1 species